UAUCCUCUCUGGUGUGCAUGUCAUACCCAGAUUUAUUUACCCAGACAACAAACCCCUCUCUCCAUCGCUUUGUCGCUAUCCAUGGUCCCAUCUCCAUGUCGCUUGUUGUCCACCACCGAAAAUUCAAGAACCUAGGAGAUCCAUUUCGCCAAAACUCAAAUCGACAUCUAAAUCUUCUUCUCCCAGACACACGAGACCGCCGUUUUUCUCCCAAUGUUCUAAGUUUGAAGUGUUUUUCUUCAAAUUUUUAUUUUAUUUUUAUAUAAAUUUGGUUUUGAAUUUACAGGUACUUUCCUCCAACAGCCCCUCCACCUACACAUUUGCACUCCGCAGCCUCCAAUUUGGGUUUGAUUUUUCUAAGUUUAUAUGUAUUUGUGCCUAGCUUUAUUAUUCUGUGAUUGGGGAUUUUUUAACUUGAUUUAUUAUUACAUAUGGAGGAUUUUUUAAUCAGUUUUCUAUUUGCUUUUUAUUUUUCAGUAUUUUUCUUUUUGCUGUGAAUCUGUAGGAUGAAAUUAUUUUUCUGGGAUGCUUCUGUUUUCUUGUUGUUUAAAGGUAAAAUCUUUCUGAAUAAGAAAAGAAGGUUUAGUAAUUUUGGGCUUUGUAGAUGCUUUGAAAUUGAACCAUACAUAAUUGUUUAAGCCAUCACGUUAUACUCUGCAGUCAAUUCCAAGAGCUAUCAUUUAUGUUUUAUGGAGAAGCGAUUUUAUUAUGUGAGGUUCUCUUUGAAUCCAGAGCAGUGAGUGCUCUGUACUUAAGUAGUUUUAAAAAUUAAAAAUAUAAGCUAUUGUUUAUUGGAUAUUAGGAUAUUAAUGCUCUCAAUUGUAAUGUUUAUCUUUUAGCUGCUCUGCAUUGUAAUCUUACACGUCCUAGAGGCUUAUCUCCUCAUGUUGCUUGUGUAUACCAAUCCUUGCAUCACUCAUACAAAAAUCAAUGAUUCAAUCAAUUUUUACUAAUGAUGGAACUUGUGCUUUAUGAUUAUAUUUGGCUUUUGGGAUCACUAUCUAAUCCAUAGUUUGUAAUACACUUCAAUAUAUAUAUUUAUUUUAUAUAUAUUUUUUUUUGUGUUUUUGGUCUUCGACAUUUGGAUCUUUCUGAAUGUUUGGUUAAUUCAUUUUUUUAUAUUAAUUUUCAAUUACAGGUUGGUACUUGGUUGCUUGACGUCUAACCCUUUUAUUAGCUCAUAUGAGGAAUUGGGUGCGUGUUGUGUUCUCUUUGUUGUGAUGGACUUUUGUUUGAAAUUUUUGUUGAAGUUCUUGUUUCACUAAAGUCUACUUGCUUUGCUUUUUAAAUGGGAUUGAGUAUUUUGGGUUUCAUUGUUUUAUUUAGGAAUGGUCUCUUCGUGUAUGGUUAGGUACACUAAUAUGGAAACAAUGGUCCAAAGAUCCAAAUAGCCUGGGUAGCAAAUAACUUUUGUCAAUCCAUUUCUGUCCUUUGCAGGUCGCUCAUGCUAUUCGUUAGAUCACCACCUAUAUUUCCAAAUGCAGUGACAAAUAUAUACAGGUUAAGUGAUUUAAUAACUUAAAUAAGUGUUAAUAUGCCCACCUUUAAGUGUAUUAUAGGAAUUGUAUCAGCACUUUUUUUCUUGUUAUAAUGUCUUUUUUUGUAAGUUAUAAACUUAUAUAUGCAUUCGAACAAUAUUUGGGUUACCUAAUCUUUUUUAUUGAGUGAAACAGUUUUUGAUAGGUAUGUUAGAAUUGAUUCCUUCCCAAAUCUACAGUGGUAAGUAAUGGCGCCCAAUGAAUUAUCAAAUCUGAGGCACCAAGUAUUUAAAAAAAAUUUAGACUAAUAUUAAUCUAGAGUAUUCCAAUUCAAUUUCCUCUGAAAGAGUUUUAAUUAUGGUGUUGGGAAUUUGUUAAUUUUUCUCUCUUUGUGUGAUUUGGUUGGGCUUGCAGAGUGACUUGGGUUUCUUUGUAUGCAUAUCCCGGACCUCUAGGUCACAUGGGGUACUCAGCAAGGUUCUACUUUUGCAAAGGAGAUGGAGAUGUUACAGACUUAUAGUGAUACUGCAAUCCAAAUAAUCUGUUUUGAAAAUCCAAAUAAUCUGUAGCAUUCAAGUCUUUGGUGAAUUUUUAAACGAAUAGGUUGCAAAUGCAACGCACUUAACUUACCAACCAAAUCCAUCUCUGACUAGCUAGAGUAUCUUGGUUGGGCACUCUAUCCGUUCCAAAGCCUAGUUUCCAAAGACGAAGUUGAGACAGGAGCAGCAUUUCACUCUCAAAUGACUUCGUUUGGAGGUCUUCAAGGAAAAGUGAAGUCUUUCAAUUGACAAAUUUCUUUGUUAGUAGAGGCCUAUUUGGUAUUUCAUGUGUAGUUUGAUAUUGACCUUAGCUUUGUUCAACUUGUAAUACAUUUUGACAAUAUGAUUACUUAUGAAUUUAUUGUAUUAUAGUAAA